rnacentral:rRNA from 1 species
GACGGAGGGUGCUAGCGUUGUUCGGAAUGACUGGGCGUAAAGGGCGCGUAGGCGGCCGCUUGCGUCGGAUGUGAAAGCCCGGGGCUCAACCCCGGAACGGCAUCCGAUACGGGGCGGCUCGAGACCGAGAGAGGUGAGUGGAAUACCCAGUGUAGAGGUGAAAUUCGUAGAUAUUGGGUGGAACACCGGUGGCGAAAGCGGCUCACUGGCUCGGUUCUGACGCUGAGGCGCGAAAGCGUGGGGAGCAAACAGG